rnacentral:rRNA from 1 species
UGGGGAAUUUUGGACAAUGGGCGCAAGCCUGAUGCAGCAACGCCGCGUGAGGGAUGACGGCCUUCGGGUUGUAAACCUCUUUUAGUAGGGAAGAAGCGAAAGUGACGGUACCUGCAGAAAAAGCACCGGCUAACUACGUGCCAGCAGCCGCGGUAAUACGUAGGGUGCGAGCGUUGUCCGGAAUUAUUGGGCGUAAAGAGCUCGUAGGCGGUCUGUCGCGUCUGCUGUGAAAACCCGAGGCUCAACCUCGGGCCUGCAGUGGGUACGGGCAGACUAGAGUGCGGUAGGGGAGAAUGGAAUUCCUGGUGUAGCGGUGGAAUGCGCAGAUAUCAGGAGGAACACCGAUGGCGAAGGCAGUUCUCUGGGCCGUAACUGACGCUGAGGAGCGAAAGCGUGGGGAGCGAACAGGAUUAGAUACCCUGGUAGUCCACGCCGUAAACGUUGGGCGCUAGAUGUGGGGACCAUUCCACGGUUUCCGUGUCGCAGCUAACGCAUUAAGCGCCCCGCCUGGGGAGUACGGCCGCAAGGC